rnacentral:rRNA from 1 species
UAGGGAAUCUUCCGCAAUGGACGAAAGUCUGACGGAGCAACGCCGCGUGAGUGAAGAAGGAUUUCGGUUCGUAAAACUCUGUUGUUAGGGAAGAAAAAAUGUAUAGUAACUAUAUACAAAAGAGACGGUACCUAACCAGAAAGCCACGGCUAACUACGUGCCAGCAGCCGCGGUAAUACGUAGGUGGCAAGCGUUGUCCGGAAUUAUUGGGCGUAAAGCGCGCGCAGGUGGUUUAGAAAGUCUGAUGUGAAAGCCCACGGCUCAACCGUGGAGGGUCAUUGGAAACUAAUAAACUUGAGUGCAGGAGAGAAAAGUGGAAUUCCUAGUGUAGCGGUGAAAUGCGUGGAGAUUAGGAGGAACACCGGUGGCGAAAGCGGCUUUUUGGCCUGCAACUGACACUGAGGCGCGAAAGCGUGGGGAGCAAACAGG